CCUCACUUCCCACUCCCUCACAUCUCUUCUCAUAUCCCAGAAACACAGGGGAGCGAAGCCUUGCUUCUUUUCCUUCCUCGCCGAGGCAGAGGUCGGCCGAGCUGAGCCGGCCGGGCUGCACGUCGUCGUCUUCGUCGCAUUCCAUCCCUUCUCUCUACUUUCUCUUCCUGCAUGUAUCUCUUCUCUCUCUGGCCCUCCUAACACGUCCGUUUUACCUCGCAGAAAACCUUGGCGGCCGUCGCCGUCGAAGCUUAGUACGAGCCGUCGCCAUCGUCCAGCUUCUCCGUGUUGUUCUGUCCGUGCACCGUGCCCGCCGUCGUCAAUGCCAACGCCCGACCUCCCGCGAGUCAUACUUGAUGGACGACGUGAACUGCAGCGUCUCCGCGUUGCCUGCUCCAUCGCUAGGCACCUCCGCUAACCGCUUCGUCCGCAGCUACGCGGAACUCGCCUGCGGCCACGUCGUCGACGACCGUAGACCCGUCUGCACGUUCGCGUCGACGCCGGGAGGCCGUCACUGCAUGCGCACGUCGCCGACUGAGCCGCGCAGCCUCCGCCGAAUCCUUCAGCGGCGACCUCCAUCAUCUUCGACCACCGCCGGUAUCUUAUUAAGGUUUCUAUCCAGGAGCAUGUCCCGGAGGAGGCCGGCGGCACGAGCGAUGAGGUGACCAACGCGACAGUUGGGUCCCUGCAGGCAGCAGCACGAGGCAUCAAGCAAAGGUUAUAUCCCUUCUCUUCUGAGGAAAUCAAGUGAGAAAAAUGAGCAUUCUUGGUUAGUUGUGGCUUGGUUGACUGCUGAAGAUCUAGAGUACAACAGGGUUGUCUGUCAAUCAGCAGACCUCUCCACCCUUUUAGGUGUUUUUUCUAAUUCGUUAGCUGCAACUCUUUGGUGGUAGGGGAUGCUGGCAGGGCACAAGGUUGCAGCAGAGAAAGUUGGCGUGCUGUUCAGAUCUUGGGAGGUGGCUUUGGAUCAGAAAACUUAUGAGCUUAUUGGGACCGAUUAUCCUGGUAAUAUGACACUAAAGGAUAGUGGCAGCAGGUGAGGUUAUUUGGCAGCUUUGUAUAUGGCACAACUAGCAAGGAGGAAGGGAGUUGGAGACAAUGGUGGUGCAAACGAUCCUACAAUGAUCAUAUAGCGACAACAACAGUUAGUCUGCAAUCUGCAAGUAUCUGCUAGGUUGGAAGGAGUGGUGAUGGUCUUGUGACAGUUGCUGCUUGAGCCGAGUACUAUCGCCACCGUUCCACUGUUGAUGCUGACGAGAACAGGGUGGGGGCAAUGGCCCUGCCAGGCUUUCCAUUUGUCUUGUUUAUGGUUUGAUGGCAUGGUUCUACCUCAUUAUUGUACAGUGCAUUCAAACCUGUUGUUGCUUUCUUCCAACCCAGAUUCUUGUGUUUACGGUUGACACCUACUGGUAGUCCUCCUCAGUCCUAACCUGGAUGGUAGCGGAGGCGUGGAUGUUGCAGAUGGCUCCGAGGCGCUCGAGCAAAUGGCCCCUUCAUCUCCCGUCAAGUGAUCCAAGGAUGGGAGUGAAGCAUCAGUGUAAACCCAUUAUCGAAGUGGCCAUGGCUACGGAAGCCAGCCUGCACUUGAUCUCCAGAUUAUGUUGGAGAUUGUUAUCGUUUGAUCGUGUUUUGGUGGUUUACAGAGGAUGCGCACAUGGAAGGCGGCUUUCGUGGUGUGUGAUACACUGAUUUCUCACCUCAUGGCGUACAUGGUAGCGGGAAAGAUUUUUAUCGUCCGACCGCAUUUUGAAUGGCUAGGUGCAUAUGUAAUGGAUAUUCUGGCUCGGAUCUAUUAUUCAUGCCACAGUGGGGUGAGCUUAUCUUGAUCCUCUAGCGUGCAAGUGGAGUUGCGGCCAGAUGGUUGAUCCAGCAAUGGAGGGACUGUAUCGUGCAAAGUUUCUCUCUUGGUUCACCGAUGCGAUCGCCUGUUGUCCAGGGUCAGACGAAGCACGUAAAAGGCUUUUCUUGUGUCUCUGGCGGGACGAUCGGUAGGGCAGGCAGCGACCGCCACGUAAUAUGUGCGCAGAUGCUGUGUCGGGAAGAAAAGGGGCGGCGCUGGAGGAGACAUGCGGAUGCGGAAUCAGCUCGCGGCCACGCGGAGUUUGGUUGUGGUCCUGGGCGGAGAGCAGCCAGAGUGGGAGUGCCUCGCCAGGAUGGAUAAGAAAAAGGGAAAAGAGGAGAAGAGGAGUUCGCACCACCCCAAUCCCCUUUUCGACCAACUAGAGGUCAUACGGCGACCUCUUUUCAUCGGCAACUACACUGGUGUUGACUGCUGCGUCGACUCGAAGCAGGGUGGGACGAUUUGAUUUGUCUUGCUUCAACGUUUAUUUCCUUCUCUUCUCGCCCACGCAAUCUGGUUGAUCUGUUCGUCUGUUGCUUGCUUCUUCGGGAUAUUUAUUGUUGCCUCUUCUGCUCUCGGAAUAGAGGCCAUAUAAUAAAAGGCGAAGAGCGGCGGUAAGGAGUCAUGCUUACGACCGUGCUCAUGUGUUAGGUAAAUCUUGGAGUGAGCAGCGGAUGGCUGUGGCUGAUGGCGUGGAUGGCCAUGACGUUGUACUUGGUCAACGGAUUAGAGGGCGUGGAGAGAAUGGAGAAAGGUGUAGCAGAUCAGGACGAUAGGUUUAAGAGGAAGAGACUGGGUUGUUAACGCAAAUCGCGAUGGGGAUGGACGGUGUCGCUGAGAAUAGUGGUGGAAAUUGUCUACACGGGCAAUUAUUUGUUGGGCUGUUAACGCAAAUCACGAUGGGGAUGGACUCAUGGAUGGUAUCGCGGAGAAUAGUGGUAGAAAUUAUCUACGCGGAGCAACUAUUUGUAAUAGUUUCUGGUUCCGUGGUAUCGGUUAAGGGAGGCUCAAAAUGUCGAACCAAACUUUUCUCACUUGCUACUCACAAUAAGUAGAUACAUUCUUCUUGGAA